rnacentral:lncRNA from 1 species
GAAGACAAGAGAUUUGCUGUCUGAUGCAACUGUGUUGCCUGUGAAUGGGAUUAGAACCAUUUCAUGGUGGCUCACAAGACUCCUACUUAUGCAUCAAAGGAUUUUAGACGAGCGGUCGUCUUCUUUGUAUGACCUAUUGAAAGUUCUUUGUAUGAUCUAUUGAAAGUUUUUAUGGCUGAGACUUUACAACAUUUUGGCACUUUGGAAAGUGUUAGUACUUAUUGGGGCAACCAGUUGCAUGAUAUCGAUCCUUCAGAG